UUAUCGAAUGAAGCUGGAGUCGGUUGUCGCUGGCCUCUUCACCGAGGCAUGUGCACGCCUUCUCUGUUCAUCCACACACACCUGUGCACUUGUGAGACGGACCGUGACCCCCUCGGGGGACGCUCCGUCUAUCAUACAUAAAACUCCAUUGUAAUGAAUUUGAAUGUGAUUUGAUGUAACGCAUCUUUAAACUAAGUUUCAACAACGGAUCUCUUGGCUCUCGCAUCGAUGAAGAACGCAGCGAAAUGCGAUAAGUAAUGUGAAUUGCAGAAUUCAGUGAAUCAUCGAAUCUUUGAACGCACCUUGCGCUCCUUGGUAUUCCUCGGAGCAUGCCUGUUUGAGUAUCAUGAAAUCCUCAAAAUAAAUCUUUUGUUAAUUCGAUUGGUUUCAUUUUGGACUUGGAGGUCUGCAGAUUCACGUCUGCUCCUCUUAAAUUCAUUAGCUGGAUCUCAGUAGACUCGGUUCCACUCGGCGUGAUAAGUAUCACUCGCUGAGGACACUGUAAAAAGUGGCCGGGGCUGCAGACGAACCGCUUCCAACAGUCCAUUGGCUUGGACAAAUCACUUUAUGAUCUGAUCUCAAAUCAGGUAGGACUACCCGCUGAACUUAAGCAUAUCAAUAAGCGGAGGAAAAGAAACUAACAAGGAUUCCCCUAGUAACGGCGAGUGAAGCGGGAAGAGCUCAAAUUUAAAAUCUGGCGGUUCCACCGUCCGAGUUG
rnacentral:rRNA from 1 species